CGAUACAGGUCUUGAUCGGCAUACUCUUUCGGUCCUUAUUGCUCUCUGUGAUUUGGGUUUAAACCCUGAGGCUUUGGCUGCUGUUGUCAAGGAACUUCAAAGAGAACCUCCACCAUCAACCCCGUUGUCAUCUUCUUCAUCACAAGUACCUUAACUUCGGAGUUCGGUAUUUUCUAGUAAACUUUCCAGUAAUGCCUUUGAGUUUUAAUUUGUUUUGAUUGAUGUCUUUCAGUAGAAACUUUCUUAGGUUUUCUCAUCUCGAACACGAUUGUGCUUAGUGUUCACCUUGUGCUUAGUCUCUGUAUCUAAUUCGAUCUUACAUACUAUGUUUGAUCAAUUAUAUAUUCACUCUGGUGAACUGUCUUUUCUUCUUUAUUCUCGAUACAGGUCUUGAUCGGCAUACUCUUUCGGUCCUUAUUGCUCUCUGUGAUUUGGGUUUAAACCCUGAGGCUUUGGCUGCUGUUGUCAAGGAACUUCAAAGAGAACCUCCACCAUCAACCCCGAUGUCAUCUUCUUCAUCACAAGUACCUUAACUUCGGAGUUCGGUAUUUUCUAGUAAACUUUCCAGUAAUGCCUUUGAGUUUUAAUUUGUUUUGAUUGAUGUCUUUCAGUAGAAACUUUCUUAGGUUUUCUCAUCUCGAACACGAUUGUGCUUAGUGUUCACCUUGUGCUUAGUCUCUGUAUCUAAUUCGAUCUUACAUACUAUGUUUGAUCAAUUAUAUAUUCACUCUGGUGAACUGUCUUUUCUUCUUUAUCUUGGAGCUUUUGUUGCCGGAUGUUGUAUUUGGUGUGGGAUUUCAUAGAAUUGGCUGC
rnacentral:lncRNA from 1 species